GCAUUGUAUGAAAGGAGAGAAGGUUAGCACUUCCUUACAAGGAUGGAAGAGGCCCUGGGGCCUGACAACACACAUAUGAUUAAGGCAUUGCCACCUACUUAGGCAUCAUGUAACCAUCAUUUUUC
rnacentral:ncRNA from 1 species